CCUACGGGCGGCAGCAGUGGGGAAUAUUGGACAAUGGGGGAAACCCUGAUCCAGCGACGCCGCGUGAGUGAAGAAGUAUUUCGGUACGUAAAGCUCUAUCAGCAGGAAAGAAAAUGACGGUACCUGACUAAGAAGCCCCGGCUAACUCCGUGCCAGCAGCCGCGGUAAUACGUAGGGGGCAAGCGUUAUACGGAUUUACUGGGUGUAAAGGGAGCGUAGACGGCAGCGCAAGUCUGGAGUGAAAUGCCGGGGCCCAACCCCGGAACUGCGCUUGAAACUGUUACGCUGGAGUGUAGGAGAGGUAAGUGGAAUUCCUGGUGUAGCGGUGAAAUGCGUAGAUAUCAGGAGGAAUACUGGCGGCGAAGGCGGCCUACUGGACCGUAACUGACGUUGAGGCUCGAAGGCGUGGGGAGCAAACAGGAUUAGAUACCCUAGUAGUC
rnacentral:rRNA from 1 species